rnacentral:rRNA from 1 species
AGUGAACGCUGGCGGUAGGCCUAACACAUGCAAGUCGAACGGCAGCACAGGAGAGCUUGCUCUCUGGGUGGCGAGUGGCGGACGGGUGAGGAAUACAUCGGAAUCUACUCUGUCGUGGGGGAUAACGUAGGGAAACUCACGCUAAUACCGCAUACGACCUACGGGUGAAAGCAGGGGAUCUUCGGACCUUGCGCGAUUGAAUGAGCCGAUGUCGGAUUAGCUAGUUGGCGGGGUAAAGGCCCACCAAGGCGACGAUCCGUAGCUGGUCUGAGAGGAUGAUCAGCCCCACUGGAACUGGGACACGGUCCAGACUCCUACGGGAGGCAGCAGUGGGGAAUAUUGGACAAUGGGCGCAAGCCUGAUCCAGCCAUACCGCGUGGGUGGAGAAGGCCUUCGGGUUGUAAAGCCCUUUUGUUGGGAAAGAAAUCCAGCUGGCUAAUACCCGGUUGGGAUGACGGUACCCAAAGAAUAAGCACCGGCUAACUUCGUGCCAGCAGCCGCAGUAA